rnacentral:rRNA from 1 species
UACGAAGGGGGCUAGCGUUGUUCGGAAUUACUGGGCGUAAAGCGCACGUAGGCGGACAUUUAAGUCAGGGGUGAAAUCCCGGGGCUCAACCCCGGAACUGCCUUUGAUACUGGAGAUCUUGAGUCCGGAAGAGGUAAGUGGAACUGCGAGUGUAGAGGUGAAAUUCGUAGAUAUUCGCAAGAACACCAGUGGCGAAGGCGGCUUACUGGUCCGGAACUGACGCUGAGGUGCGAAAGCGUGGGGAGCAAACAGG